AGUGAACGCUGGCGGUAGGCCUAACACAUGCAAGUCGAACGGCAGCACAGUAAAAGCUUGCUCUUACGGGUGGCGAGUGACGGACGGGUGAGGAAUACAGCGGAAUCUACUUUUUCGUGGGGGAUAACGUAGGGAAACUUACGCUAAUACCUCAUACGACCUACGGGUGAAAGCAGGGGAUCUUCGGACCUUGCGCGAUUGAAUGAGCCGAUGUCGGAUUAGCUAGUUGGCGGGGUAAAGGCCCACCAAGGCGACGAUCCGUAGCUGGUCUGACAGGAUGAUCGGCCACACUGGAACUGGGACACGGUCCAGGCUCCUACGGGAGGCGGCAGUGGGGAAUAUUGGACAAUGGGCGCAAUCCUGCUCCAGCCAUCCCGCGUGGGUGAAGAAGGCCUUCGGGCUGUAAAGCCCUUUUGUUGGGAAAGAAAAGCAGCAGGUUAAUACCCCGCUGUUCUGACGGUACCCAAAGAAUAAGCACCGGCUAACUUCGUG
rnacentral:rRNA from 1 species